ensembl:lincRNA
AUGACCAUGCUGCCCUCGGCCAGCAGACAGCCACGCCAGGCCACUGUCCUGCCGAGCCAGGCAGGGGCACCAGAGCGCGAGUCAGCGCUGGCAGCUGUGACAGCUGGAUUUCGGAAAGUUACAGGACGGCUCCCGGAGCAUUCACCCCAUCAACGUAGGAGAAGCCCAGUGCUCUCAAGGCCCAGGUGCUGCUGUGACGUCCAUCACAGGGAGACCCAGAGCUGCCACAGCAGGGUCUCCAGGGCAAGUUCUUUGCGCUGUGGGUGGGGAAGACUGGAGACCCUGCAUCCAGGACCACUGGUCCCUCUUCUGGAGCUGCAGCCCUGGUCAGGUCACUUCCGGGUGACUUCACCCAGGUGAACGUCUGGAGCACACUGAUACAAACCCAGGAGACUGAGCCUGCUCGUGCCCUGGAGGACGCAGUGACCACCAGACGCUGCUGCAGGCUUUAUGGGCUGCUGCUUCAUGCAGCUUUUGUUUUUUUCAGUACUGGUUUGAACCCAGGGCCUUCAUAUUGUUCUAUAUCUCCAGCCCCUUCUUAUUUUUUUAUUUUGAGAUAGAGUCCUUGGUAAGUUGCAAAGUUCCCUGGGCUGGGGUUGAACUUUGGUUCGUCCUGCUUCAGCCUCCCAGAGUGCUGGGAUUCCAGGUGUGCACCACGCCUGACUCAAUAACUUUUUAUGAGUACAAGAGUACACACUAAAAUAUGAUAAAGAGUGGACUGCCAUAAACACAUACCCCAGUAACACAGUUGUUUAUUAUCAAGUAUUAUAGCCUGGAUAUAAUAGCAUUUGCUAUACAACCAGCUGCACACUGGGCUUGUUUACAGGACAGUACCACAGAUAUGUGAGCCAUGUGUGUGUGGUAUCUUAGCUCCUGAUGGCCGUGUCAGUAGGUGAUAUGGAUUCUCAGCUCCAUUGUGACCGUACAGGGACACAGUCCAGGUCUGUACGCAGCGCAUGCCUAUGUUUCCACUCUGAGUCCCCAAAAUCUCCAGAGUUCUAUCUUCUCUCUCAAAUCCUUAACUUUGGCACAGGGAAGAGACAAAGAAUAUUUAGAGAAACCGAGGACCCCAGAGCAGCUUCUUCAAAGUCAAAGGCGCUCACGGGCUGGGGGUGGGGUGGGGUGCGGUUGAGGGUCAGCUCUGCAAUGAAGCCAGGCUUAGCAUGCUCCAGGCUUGGUCUCCAGUGCCCCAAAAUAGACAAAUGAAAAAAAGAAAAACUCAAGGUUUGUAAGCAAAAUAUUCUUGCUCUGGUAAGCAAGAAGCUGAGAGAUCUGUCCAAUUCACAGCAGUGACUUCUGAGCUACCUUUUGCAAUACCUGUUUUUUGGAGACUAUUAGAGUAGAAACACUAAAGUUACUAAAAAGGUAGUAAAGUCUAUUCCAUCUUAAAUAUCACUGUGAAAGAGCUGUGAUUUUAGCUGGGUGUGAUGGUGCACACCUGCAAUCUCAGCACUGAGGGAGGCUGAGGCAGGAAAAUUGCAAGUUUCAGGCUAACCUUAUCAAUUUAGCAAUUUAACAAAACCCUCACUCAACAUCAAACUGGCCAAGCAUGGUAGUGCACGCCUGUAAUCCCAGCACUCGGGAGGAGGAUCGCUGUGAGUUCGAGACCAGCCUGGGCUACACAGUGAGUUCCAGGUCAGUCACAACUACAUAGUGAGACCCUGUCUAAAAAAACAAGCAAAAUAAUCAGGUUAGGCAUGUAACUCAGGGCACAAAGGCCCUGGGUUCAAUGCCCAGUACCAGAAGAGAAAAAAGAUUGCAAUUUUUAUAAAUAGGGUUUGGCUAUAUGAUUGUGCAAUAUUAUUGUGUAACAUUAAAAUGUCUCUUAUGUUACACAGACUCUAUCGUGUAUUACUAAUAGAAGCCAAAGUGAUCAAUGGAACAACUCUCAACAACACAUUUCUCGUGCAUCUUAAGAAAGUAACCCUGAUGUUAACAAACACUCCCUCGACUCUUACUUACAGAAGCACUGAACAAAGGCCUUUGGUUUCCUGGUAAAGAAGUCCAAUUAAUUCAAGGACAUUGAGUAAGGAAUGGGCUAAACACAGACUGGCCUCCGACGUCAAUCUCCUCCGCUCCACCGUGACCCUGGAACCCUUAAGAUGCUGGAACACAUUUCAAGAACUCGGAUUGGGCAUCAUUGGCAGGGUCUGGCCUGGCCAGCAGGCUGUGGAGAGCAGGGCCUGAACACCCAGCAUCUGUAUUCUCCACAGACCCUAGCAUUUUAGCCAGGUAGGAAAGUUAUUCUAACCCUAACCCUGGCAAAGGUGAUAAGAGUCUUCAGGAUUUGUUUCAGGCACUUCAAGAAGUGAAGCAGCAUUUAUCCAAGCAGUCUAUAAAAUAUGAUGGGCUGGGUGUGGUGCUGCACACCUGUAAUUCCAGCACUUGGGAGGCUGAGGAAGGAGGAUUGCUGUGCGUUCGAGGCCAGCCUGGACUACACAGUGAGACUCUAUCUCAUAAAAUAAAAUAAAAUACGAUGGGACUGAAAUAAGCUGUCGCAAGGUUCAGCCCCAUGGUAUUUAUAUUGUGCCUAAUAGUCCACUGGGGCUGCUAUAACCACAUACCGUAAACCAGGCAGUUUGUGACAACAACAUGUAUUUC